rnacentral:rRNA from 1 species
CUACGGGCGGCUGCAGUAGGGAAUAUUGGACAAUGGGCAAAAGCCUGAUCCAGCAACGCCGCGUGUGCGAUGACGGCCUUCGGGUUGUAAAGCACUUUUAGAGGAGAUGAGAAAGGACAGUAUCCUCAGAAUAAGCCUCGGCGAACUACGUGCCAGCAGCCGCGGUAAAACGUAGGAGGCAAGCGUUAUCCGGAUUUAUUGGGCGUAAAGCGCGUGCAGGCGGUCUAGCAAGUUGGAUGUGAAAGCUCCCGGCUUAACCGGGAGAGGUCGUUCAAUACUGUUAGACUAGAGAAUGGGAGAGGGAGGUGGAAUUCUGGGUGUAGUGGUGAAAUGCGUAGAUAUCCAGAGGAACACCAGUGGCGAAAGCGGUCUCCUGGACCAUUUCUGACGCUAAGACGCGAAAGCUAGGGUAGCAAACGGGAUUAGAUACCCCCGUAGUC